rnacentral:rRNA from 1 species
UGGGGAAUUUUCCGCAAUGGGCGCAAGCCUGACGGAGCAAUACCGCGUGGAUGAGGAAGGCUUUCGGGUCGUAAAAUCCUUUUCUCAGGGAAGAAGAAGUGACGGUACCUGAGGAAUCAGCAUCGGCUAACUCCGUGCCAGCAGCCGCGGUAAUACGGAGGAUGCGAGCGUUAUCCGGAAUUAUUGGGCGUAAAGCGUACGUAGGCGGCUGAGCAAGUCUAGGGUCAAAUCCCGCAGCCUAACUGCGGACCGGCCUUGGAAACUGCUCGGCUAGAGUGCGGUAGGGGUAGAGGGAAUUCCCGGUGUAGCGGUGAAAUGCGUAGAUAUCGGGAAGAACACCAGUGGCGAAAGCGCUCUACUGGGCCGCAACUGACGCUGAGGUACGAAAGCUAGGGUAGCGAAAGGGAUUAGAUACCCCCGUAGUCC